rnacentral:rRNA from 1 species
GGGGAAUUUUGGACAAUGGGCGCAAGCCUGAUCCAGCAAUGCCGCGUGAGUGAAGAAGGCCUUCGGGUUGUAAAGCUCUUUUAUCAGGGAAGAAACGGUUGGGGGUAAUAUCCCCGGCUAAUGACGGUACCUGAAGAAUAAGCACCGGCUCACUACGUGCCAGCAGCCGCGGUAAUACGUAGGGUGCAAGCGUUCAUCGGAAUUACUGGGCGUAAAGCGUGCGCAGGCGGUUUUGUAAGUCUGUCGUGAAAGCCCCGGGCUUAACCUGGGAAUUGCGAUGGAGACUGCAAGGCUUGAAUCUGGCAGAGGGGGGUAGAAUUCCACGUGUAGCAGUGAAAUGCGUAGAGAUGUGGAGGAACACCGAUGGCGAAGGCAGCCCCCUGGGUCAAGAUUGACGCUCAUGCACGAAAGCGUGGGGAGCAAAC